rnacentral:rRNA from 1 species
UACAGAGGGGGCGAGCGUUGUUCGGAAUUACUGGGCGUAAAGGGCGCGUAGGCGGCCUUCUAAGUCGAACGUGAAAUCCCCGGGCUCAACCCGGGAACUGCGUCCGAUACUGGGAGGCUUGAAUCCGGGAGAGGGAUGUGGAAUUCCAGGUGUAGCGGUGAAAUGCGUAGAGUAUCUGGAGGAACACCGGUGGCGAAGGCGGCAUCCUGGACCGGUAUUGACGCUGAGGCGCGAAAGCCAGGGGAGCAAACGGG